rnacentral:rRNA from 1 species
AGAACGAACGCUGGCGGCAUGCCUAACACAUGCAAGUCGAACGAGACCUUCGGGUCUAGUGGCGCACGGGUGCGUAACGCGUGGGAAUCUGCCCUUGGGUUCGGAAUAACAGUUGGAAACGACUGCUAAUACCGGAUGAUGACGUAAGUCCAAAGAUUUAUCGCCCAGGGAUGAGCCCGCGUAGGAUUAGCUAGUUGGUGAGGUAAAGGCUCACCAAGGCGACGAUCCUUAGCUGGUCUGAGAGGAUGAUCAGCCACACUGGGACUGAGACACGGCCCAGACUCCUACGGGAGGCAGCGAGGUAGGGAAUUAGUUAGGAACUAAG